GCCCGAGUGAGGGAAUUGGCAGACCUGAAGGCCUCAAAAGCCUUUGUUCGAAAGGACGUGCGGGUUCGAAUCCCGCCUCGGGCACCA
rnacentral:tRNA from 1 species